AAGUCGUAACAAGGUUUCCGUAGGUGAACCUGCGGAAGGAUCAUUAACACGUAUCCAAACGUUAAAACAACCCUGUGAACCUUCAGCGUGUUCUUGCAGGACAUCAAAACAGCAAUCAUGAGUAAAUCAGGCGCUAAAGAAUUACAGAUUUUGAUUUUGGGGUGUGUACGUCACCCUGGUACCCUAGAGCACUCCCUGUCUGGCGGCAGGGAUCAAUGUUCAGGGUGGCGCAGUCAACGAUCGCUGUAGGUCCAGGCGACCGGGUUGGAGGCGAAAGCCCCUACGUCAUCCCUAUGUACCCUCCGGGACUUGGCGAAAGCUGACUCCGUCAUAAAUCGAACAACUGUUAACAAUGGAUAUCUUGGUUCUC
rnacentral:misc_RNA from 1 species